UACAGAGGUCUCAAGCGUUGUUCGGAUUCAUUGGGCGUAAAGGGCUCGUAGGCGGUCUGUUGCGUCGGGAGUGAAAACUCAGGGCUUAACCCUGAGCCUGCUUCCGAUACGGGCAGACUAGAGGUAUGCAGGGGAGAACGGAAUUCCUGGUGUAGCGGUGAAAUGCGCAGAUAUCAGGAGGAACACCAACAGCGAAGGCAGCUCGCUGGGACGGUACUGACGCUGAGGCGCGAAAGCGUGGGGAGCAAACAGG
rnacentral:rRNA from 1 species